rnacentral:rRNA from 1 species
CCUGGCUCAGGAUGAACGCUGGCGGAGUGCCUAACACAUGCAAGUCGAGCGGCAGCGCGAGUAGUUUACUACUUGGCGGCGAGCGGCGGACGCUGAGUAACGCGUGGGAACAUGACCCAAGUGAGGAAUAACUCGACCCGGAAAGGGUAGCUAAUGCCGCAUACGAUCUUCGGAUUAAAGGAUUUAUCCGCUUUGGGAGUGGCCUGCGUACGAUUAGAUAGUUGGUGAGGUAAUGGCUCACCAAGUCUACGAUCGUUAACUGGUUUGAGAGGAUGAUCAGUCAGACUGGAACUGAGACACGGUCCAGACUCCUACGGGAGGCAGCAGUGAGGAAUCUUCCACAAUGGACGAAAGUCUGAUGGAGCAACUCCGCGUGCAGGAUGAAGGCCUUCGGGUCGUAAACUGCUUUUAUGAGUGAAGAAUAUGACGGUAACUCAUGAAUAAGGGUCGGCUAACUACGUG